GAAAUACAUGGAAGAAGCCAUGAUGAUAGGCAGAAAAGAGAACAAUUACGCCAAGAGAAGGAAAUGUCCAAGUUUGCAUAAAUGGCAGAUGCACAUAGACAACGCCAACAAUAGCAACAACAACAACAACAUGAAGGUUUUGGGACCUCCUGCGAUGUUAGUGCACCCAAGGUUUCUUCAACAGUACUACAACAGGAUCAGUGACAAGAUAUGAAAUUUGGCUUUUUUAAGCAAGGCAAUGCCAAGAUACACAGUGGUAGGUGUUUUGUUCCAGUCUCAAGCUAGCAAUACUUUUUGAGUGUAUCUAGUAGAAGUAAGCAAGCAGAUCGUUCCCUUCGAGACCGG